UACGAAGGGGGCUAGCGUUGUUCGGAUUUACUGGGCGUAAAGCGCGCGUAGGCGGGUCACUAAGUCAGGGGUGAAAUCCCGAGGCUUAACCUCGGAACUGCCUUUGAUACUGGUGACCUGGAGAUCGGGAGAGGUUGGUGGAAUUCCGAGUGUAGAGGUGAAAUUCGUAGAUAUUCGCAAGAACACCAGUGGCGAAGGCGGCUCACUGGCCCGAUACUGACGCUGAGGCACGAAAGCGUGGGGAGCAAACAGG
rnacentral:rRNA from 1 species